CCGGAAGAUUCCAGCAGUCCCCAGGCCGACAGAGGACAGACGCAGGACAGACGCAGCAGUGGAUUGGAAGUCUUGUACACGAAUGGCAGAAGCAGGAGCUUCUGCCCAAAGCCAUUGCUGCCUGUGUGUUUGCUUGUUCCAGGAUCAACAUGUGCCACCUGGAGGCGUUGGCGGCGGAAGAGGCCUCAUUGAGGAGUGAGAGCAGGCCAAGUAACUGGGGCAGCAGUCCAGUGGAGAAGAGUGACUCUUGGUGGUGUGGGCCAAACCAAGGACAUACUCGGAGCGUAACAAGGAGCCCUCUGGGACAGAUUAGUUUAAAAGAACUGUUGUUUUCCCCUGCCCUUUUAAAGACCUUCCCAUUUUAAGAGACAUUUUAUUCCCAUAGGUUUUAUCUUCUCUCUGCAUCCUUGCACAAUAAAUGUUUAUUGUUGGAA